rnacentral:tRNA from 1 species
GCCCGGAUGGUGGAAUCGGUUUACACGGUGGCCUCAAAAGCCACUGCUCGAAAGAGCAUGCGGGUUCGAGUCCCGCUCCGGGCACCA